GGAUUAGAUACCCUGGUAGUCCACGCCCUAAACUAUGUAUGCUUGGUGUUGGGUCAAUUGCGAUUCAGUGCCGGAGGAAAUCCGUUAAGCAUACCACCUGGGGAGUACGAUCGCAAGGUUGAAACUCAAAGGAAUUGACGGGGGCCCGCACAAGCGGUGGAUUAUGUGGUUUAAUUCGAUGCAACGCGAAGAACCUUACCUGGGCUCGAAGUGUAGUGGACCGCUCCUUAAAGGGAGCUUUCCUUCGGGACUGCUACAUAGGUGCUGCAUGGCUGUCGUCAGCUCGUGCUG
rnacentral:rRNA from 1 species